GGUGACACCAAUAAAUAGCAGACAUUGUAAUAGGUAGUUUUUUGCAGUAUUUUACAGGUAAAAAACCCUGCCAUAUAGGUAACAUUAGUGUGUUAAUCCUGUGCACACAGGACCUCGUGGACCUGGACGCAUGUACACACCAAGGAAGAACGUGUGGGUGGAGGCAAGAUGCAGACCAUCCCCGACGGGCACAACAGCUUCUCCGGGGUCAAACCGGGGAAGACUGGACAGUCGUGUCUGAACCCAGGUGUGUGUCCAAGCUGGGGCCCUGGGUGCACACAGUCCUUCCCCGGGGCCUGUGGACAGGGGUGUGGUUGUGUCCCUGUGUGCACAGGCCAUUGCCUACAGGGAGGGGGGCGUUGGCAGCACGAGCGCUGCCCCUGCAGCUUCCUCCAGGAGUGGGUCAGGGAGGGGGUCCCAGGAAGUGAGGUCACUGCCGUGUCACGGGCCCAACAGAACUCGGAACCCCCGUAACCAGGCACCCGCAUCCAGUGCAGCCCCAGCUCAGGCUCACUUGGCUGGAGACAUCUGCUACUGGAGGAUGUUCUCUUGCUGCCAGCCCCCCUCUGGGGGCUCUGGCUCCCAGGAACCCCAGGGGUGCGGCUUGUUCCAAUGCUGUAGGCAGUGGCUCCAGCAUAGAUACCAAGGCGUCAGGGCGGUGAUCAGGAGGCGCCGUCAGGUAACACAGCGCAGGCCAGGCCAGGCCCCCUGUGCCACCAUCCUGCGAGCCCCCCCCCCUUCCUCCUCAGGUUCAGGGAACCAGGGAUGAGUGGGCAGGUCCCAUCCAGGCUGGGGGACGCUGCAGGGCGGCAGGUUCCCCGGGGAUCCCUUCAGGGUCACCCUGAUGUCAAGGUGGGCAGGGGGGAAACAGGGUUCCUGAGGUCCUCUACCCGCCCCGGAGUCACCCCGAGGCCCUGCAGCCGCAUCCCUUUGCUGUCCCCGGGGGCGGUGGGUGCCGCCUGCACUGUGGGGUGUCUGGGUGGAGGCAGCUGGGGGUGCGGCCCAGCCGAGGGGGCCAGACCGGGCGCUGAGGCCUCCUGCCUGGCUGCCGGGCACUGUCUCCACAGAGCUCCCCCCGGGGCGUGGGGCGCGAGCGGGAGGAAGGGGUCGUCUGCCCCACCGCCUCCAGGAGCAGGGAGGUGCCCUGCGCAGCUAACGGAGGCCAGCGCGGGCUCAGGGGUGCAGGGGCCGCGGCCGGGAAGGGGCAUCGGAUCGUCCCGACCAAGCUCAGCCGGACGGAGCUGCUGGAGCACAAAGUCCGACAACUGCUGCUCGCCUUGCAGCGCAGGGACGUCAUCUACGUCCUCAGCUUCCUGGAAGAUUACCAUCAAUUCGCCACCACGGACGAGGUGCUGGACCUGCUGUUCACCGAGUAUGGGUGCAUCGCAGAUGCGUGGGGUAACAACGAUGUGGUCCUGCAGUGCUGGAAACUGGCCAUCUCCUUCAUGA
rnacentral:lncRNA from 1 species